rnacentral:tRNA from 1 species
GUCGGAGUGGCGGAAUUGGUAUACGCGCAAGUUUCAGAAGCUUGUGCCGCAAGGCUUGAGGGUUCAAAUCCCUCCUCCGACA